UGGGGAAUUUUGGGCAAUGGGCGAAAGCCUGACCCAGCAACGCCGCGUGAAGGACGAAAUCCCUCCGGGAUGUAAACUUCGAAAGUCAGGAAAGAAAUCCUACGGGACAACACCCCGUGGGGAUGACGGUACCUGACGUAAGCCCCGGCUAACUACGUGCCAGCAGCCGCGGUAAUACGUAGGGGGCAAGCGUUGUUCGGAAUUACUGGGCGUAAAGGGCGCGUAGGCGGCACAGCAAGUCGGGAGUGAAAGCCCGGGGCUCAACCCCGGAACUGCUUUCGAAACUGCUGAGCUAGAGUACAGAAGGGGCAACCGGAAUUCCCAGUGUAGCGGUGAAAUGCGUAGAUAUUGGGAAGAACACCUGAGGCGAAGGCGGGUUGCUGGGCUGAUACUGACGCUGAGGCGCGAAAGCCAGGGGAGCAAACGGGAUUAGAUACCCCGGUAGUCCUGGCCCUAAACGAUGGAUACUUGGUGUAUGGGGUUCUCAAAGUCCCCGUGUGCCGGAGCUAACGCGGUAAGUAUCCCGCCUGGGGAGUACGGUCG
rnacentral:rRNA from 1 species